rnacentral:rRNA from 1 species
UACGGAGGGGACUAGCGUUAUUCGGAAUCACUGGGCGUAAAGCGCACGUAGGCGGAUUGUUAAGUCAGGGGUGAAAGCCCGGGGCUCAACCCCGGAACUGCCUUUAAAACUGCAUCGCUUGAAUCCAGGAGAGGUGAGUGGAAUUCCGAGUGUAGAGGUGAAAUUCGUAGAUAUUCGGAAGAACACCAGUGGCGAAGGCGGCUCACUGGACUGGUAUUGACGCUGAGGUGCGAAAGCGUGGGGAGCAAACAGG